rnacentral:ncRNA from 1 species
AUAUAGAGGUUGCAGUUACAAUCAGUAUUAUAAAUUGUACCUAGGGAGUCUUAGAUUUAUAAGAAAGGUGUAGCUGCCGAAACAAGUGGUUUUCCCUAAAGCCAUUUGUUGGGGAUGUAUCGAAUAGGUACAUCACUGCAAUUAGCUGAUUGCCCAAUCCUCUAAUAGAGCGCUAUA